GGCUAAUGCUGGUUGUCACUGGAUUAAUUCGUAAAUCCAGGAUAAAAAGAUGAAAGUAAUAUUGAUGUUAUGUAAGGAAGACUUAAACUUCUAGAACAAGACGGAAUAGAAGUGAGAAUGCAUGUCCUUGAAUUGUUCUUGGUUUCAAAAGAUAAACUUUUUUAACAUCUCAGCACUAAAGAAGGCCUCCUGCUGUAAGUGAAGAACCACUUAUUUCAGACUCAAGAAGGGAGCAGAGAUGUGGCCUCUGGCUGCCCCACUCGGACACCCAUGGCCUGAGUUAGGCCCUCUCAGUGGCUUCCCAGUAAACUACACUAGGCUUUUCUGAUUUUAGUCUAUCCCAAAGCUAAUUCCAUGCCAAAGCCAUAAAAUGUGUGGGGAAAAAAAAAGCCAGUCUGUGACAGGAUGCAAAUCUCACCUAUGAUACUGGAAGACCAGUGCUGGGCUCCACAGUGGAGACAGCAUGACUUUCUGGUCAAAGUCCUAGGACAGGCGACGACAGAACUCCAGAAGACGAGUGGCCAUGUUAAGCCACAAAAUGACCGUGAUGACUUCUGACUGAGAAGAAAAAUGGGGCAGAGAAAGUUAAUAUGUGGGAAUUUCUUGUACAAAGUCUAUACUCAAAAUGAUCUUUUCAGUUUUUAGAAUUCAUAAAAUGAGCUUUUCUAAAAUAAGUAGACAUCUUUUUGUUCAAUAAUGGGAAAAUCUCUUCAUAAAUAUGCUAGAGAAAUGUUUUCUCUCUCUCUCUCUCUGAGAAUUGACUGCUUAUAAUAUCUCCAGAAUCUCUAGUUGUUACCUGUGAAUAUUAGUGGUAUUAAGCUAUUUUGCUUCAUCACCUAGUGUUUUAAGUUUUACUUGGGCUGCUGUAGUCAACAAUUUUUUUUUCAUUGUUUCAAAUAGAAAAUGCAUGUUUAGUUUUCUAAAGCAAGCUUUUUGAGAGUAUCCUUUUUUCUUUUCACAUAAUAAUUGGUUCAAAAUAUUUCAGUGUUCUGUGAGAAUAGAAACUUGGUAAUUUUACAGAUGUUCAUGUAUGUCCUUUGUUUUAAAUUAUAUUAAUAUUUGUCCAAUGUCAACUAGGUGCCAGACAUUGUUGUCAGUGCUUUACAUAUAUUAUCGGACCCUCACAAUAGCCCCAAGGAUAUGCGCUGUUAUUACUUCUAUUUUACGUGCGGGGUAGUCCUGGCACAGAGAGUUGCAGUGACUUGCCCCAGUCACACAGCUUCUAAGGCUGGGCCCAGGCUCCAAUAGCAGGCUUCUGCCUCCACUGCCCACCUCCUCAUACUCUACUCUGAUACCUCUCUGGCCAGAUGGGCUCCAUUUUUCACCUGUUUUGCAGGCUCAUACACAUGUGGAAGCUGUAUUACCUUCUAAAAGCCACUAGCACAUUAUGCAAGACAGGCAUAUGGUAUCAUUCUGCGUCUACGAGGUAUCUGGAGCAGUGGAAUUCAUCCAAGCAAUAAUUAGAAGGAUGGUUACUGGGUUGGUGGGGCAAGGGGAGGGCAGAAUGGGGAGUUAUUGUUUAAUGGGUACAGAGUUUUGGUUUGGAUGAAAGGAGUUCUGGAGCUGGAUGGAGGUGAUGGUUUGCUCAACAAUGCAAAUAUACUUAAUGGCUGAAAAGUGUCCUUAAAAACGGUGAAAAUGGGGGUGUUAAGUGUCUGCCUUCAGCUCAAGUCAUGAUCCUGAGUUGUAGCAUCCAGCCCUGCCUCAGGCUCUCAGCUCAGCAGAGAGUCUGCUCCUCCCUCUGCCC